rnacentral:rRNA from 1 species
CCUACGGGGGGCAGCAGUGGGGGAUAUUGCACAAUGGGGGGAACCCUGAUGCAGCGACGCCGCGUGGGUGAAGGAGCGUUUCGGCGCGUAAAGCCCUAUCGGCAGGGAAGAAGAUGACGGUACCUGACCAAGAAGCCCCGGCUAACUACGUGCCAGCAGCCGCGGUAAUACGUAGGGGGCAAGCGUUAUCCGGAUUUACUGGGUGUAAAGGGGGCGCAGACGGCAAUGCAAGCCAGGGGGGAAAGCCCGGGGCCCAAACCCGGGACUGCUCUUGGAACUGCAUGACUGGAGUAAGGGAGUGGUAAGCGGAAUUCCAAGUGAAGCGGUGAAAGGCGUAGAUAUAAGGAAGAACACCGAAGGCGAAGGCAGCCUGCUGGGCUGAGACUGACGUUGAGGGCCGAAGGCGUGGGGAGCAAACAGGAUUAGAUACCCUAGUAGUC